rnacentral:rRNA from 1 species
GAUGAACGCUGGCGGCGUGCCUAAUACAUGCAAGUUGAGCGAACAGACGAGGAGCUUGCUCCUCUGACGUUAGCGGCGGACGGGUGAGUAACACGUGGAUAACCUACCUAUAAGACUGGGAUAACUUCGGGAAACCGGAGCUAAUACCGGAUAAUAUAUUGAACCGCAUGGUUCAAUAGUGAAAGACGGUUUUGCUGUCACUUAUAGAUGGAUCCGCGCCGCAUUAGCUAGUUGGUAAGGUAACGGCUUACCAAGGCAACGAUGCGUAGCCGACCUGAGAGGGUGAUCGGCCACAAUGGAACUGAGACACGGUCCAGACUCCUAAGGGAGGCAGCAGUAGGGAAUCUUCCGCAAUGGGCGAAAGCCUGACGGAGCAAAGCCGCGUGAGUAAUGAAGGUCUUCGGAUCGUAAAACUCUGUUAUUAGGGAAGAACAAAUGUGUAAGUAACUAUGCACGUCUUGACGGUACCUAAUCAGAAAGCCACGGCUAACUACGUG